UACGUAGGGUGCAAGCGUUGUCCGGAAUUAUUGGGCGUAAAGGGUGCGUAGGUGGCGGGGUAAGUCAGGUGUGAAAUCUCGGAGCUCAACUCCGAAACUGCACUUGAUACUGCCUUGCUCGAGUACUGGAGAGGAGAUUGGAAUUUACGGUGUAGCAGUGAAAUGCGUAGAUAUCGUAAGGAAGACCAGUGGCGAAGGCGAAUCUCUGGACAGUUACUGACACUGAGGCACGAAGGCCAGGGGAGCAAACAGG
rnacentral:rRNA from 1 species